GAUGAACGCUGGCGGCGUGCCUAAUACAUGCAAGUCGAGCGAACGGACGAGAAGCUUGCUUCUCUGAUGUUAGCGGCGGACGGGUGAGUAACACGUGGAUAACCUACCUAUAAGACUGGGAUAACUUCGGGAAACCGGAGCUAAUACCGGAUAAUAUUUUGAACCGCAUGGUUCAAAAGUGAAAGACGGUCUUGCUGUCACUUAUAGAUGGAUCCGCGCUGCAUUAGCUAGUUGGUAAGGUAACGGCUUACCAAGGCAACGAUGCAUAGCCGACCUGAGAGGGUGAUCGGCCACACUGGAACUGAGACACGGUCCAGACUCCUACGGGAGGCAGCAGUAGGGAAUCUUCCGCAAUGGGCGAAAGCCUGAAGGAGCAAAGCCGCGUGAGUGAUGAAGGUCUUCGGAAAGUAAAACUCUGUUAUUAGGGAAGAACAUAUGUGUAAGUAACUGUGCACAUCUUGACGGUACCUAAUCAGAAAGCCACGGCUAACUACGUG
rnacentral:rRNA from 1 species